rnacentral:rRNA from 1 species
AGUGAACGCUGGCGGUAGGCCUAACACAUGCAAGUCGAACGGCAGCACAGUAAGAGCUUGCUCUUACGGGUGGCGAGUGGCGGACGGGUGAGGAAUACAUCGGAAUCUACUUUUUCGUGGGGGAUAACGUAGGGAAACUUACGCUAAUACCGCAUACGACCUACGGGUGAAAGCAGGGGAUCUUCGGACCUUGCGCGAUUGAAUGAGCCGAUGUCGGAUUAGCUAGUUGGCGGGGUAAAGGCCCACCAAGGCGACGAUCCGUAGCUGGUCUGAGAGGAUGAUCAGCCACACUGGAACUGAGACACGGUCCAGACUCCUACGGGAGGCAGCAGUAGGGAAUAUUGGACAAUGGGCGCAAGCCUGAUCCAGCCAUGCCGCGUGGGUGAAGAAGGCCUUCGGGUUGUAAAGCCCUGUUAUUGGGAAAGAAAAGCAGCAGGUUAAUACCCCGCUGUUCUGACGGUACCCAAAGAAUAAGCACCGGCUAACUUCGUG